rnacentral:rRNA from 1 species
GACGAACGCUGUCGGCGUGCUUAACACAUGCAAGUCGAACGGAGUGGCGAACGGGUGAGUAACACGUGGGUGACCUGCCCUGCACUUCGGGAUAAGCCUGGGACACUGGGUCUAAUACCGGAUAGUGUGGGAUGGGCCCGCGGCCUAUCAGCUUGUUGGUGGGGUAAUGGCCUACCCAGGCGGCGACGGGUAGCCGGCCUGGGAGGGUGGACGGCCACAGUGGUACUGAGACACGGCCAAGACGGCUACGGGGGGCAGCAGUGGGGAAUAUUGCACAAUGGGCGGAAGCCUGAGGCAGCGACGCCGGGUGGGGGAUGACGGCCUUCGGGUUGUAAACUCCUUUCACCAUCGACGCGGUAGAUGGAGAAGAAGCACCGGCUAACUACGUGCCAGCCGCCGCGGUAAUUC